GAUGAACGCUGGCGGCGCGCCUAACACAUGCAAGUCGAACGAUUAAAGCACCUUCGGGUGUGUAUAAAGUGGCGAACGGCUGAGUAACACGUGGGCAACCUGCCCCUUUCAUUGGGAUAGCCACGGGAAACCGUGGAUAAUACCGAAUACUUCGAGACUUCCGCAUGGAAGACUCGAGAAAGCUCCGGCGGAGAGGGAUGGGCCCGCGGCCUGUUAGCUUGUUGGUGGGGUAACGGCCUACCAAGGCAAUGAUGGGUUGCUGGGUUGAGAGACCGACCAGCCAGAUUGGGACUGAGACACGGCCCAGACUCCUACGGGAGGCAGCAGUGGGGAAUCUUGCACAAUGGGCGAAAGCCUGAUGCAGCGACGCCGCGUGCGGGAUGAAGGCCUUCGGGUUGUAAACCGCUUUCAGCAGGGACGAGGCGAAAGUGACGGUACCUGCAGAAGAAGCCCCGGCUAACUACGUG
rnacentral:rRNA from 1 species